rfam:Candidatus Harrisonbacteria bacterium RIFCSPLOWO2_02_FTLL_45_10c rifcsplowo2_02_scaffold_24257, whole genome shotgun sequence.
AGCCUAAACUUUACAAUUUUUUGUAAAGCAUGGCUUAAAAACGUUCAACAUAGAAAGCUCCUAGUCAGAGCUCGUGUUGAACGUCAUAUUCCGAAAGGGGUAUGGGUGUCGCAAGACAUC